rnacentral:rRNA from 1 species
CGGAAAGACCCCGUGAACCUUUACUAUAGCUUGACACUGAACAUUGAGCCUUGAUGUGUAGGAUAGGUGGGAGGCUUUGAAGUGUGGACGCCAGUCUGCAUGGAGCCGACCUUGAAAUACCACCCUUUAAUGUUUGAUGUUCUAACGUGGACCCGUGAUCCGGGUUGCGGACAGUGUCUGGUGGGUAGUUUGACUGGGGCGGUCUCCUCCUAAAGAGUAACGGAGGAGCACGAAGGUUGGCUAAUCCUGGUCGGACAUCAGGAGGUUAGUGCAAUGGCAUAAGCCAGCUUGACUGCGAGCGUGACGGCGCGAGCAGGUGCGAAAGCAGGUCAUAGUGAUCCGGUGGUUCUGAAUGGAAGGGCCAUCGCUCAACGGAUAAAAGGUACUCCGGGGAUAACAGGCUGAUACCGCCCAAGAGUUCAUAUCGACGGCGGUGUUUGGCACCUCGAUGUCGGCUCAUCACAUCCUGGGGCUGAAGUAGGUCCCAAGGGUAUGGCUGUUCGCCAUUUAAAGUGGUACGCGAGCUGGGUUUAGAACGUCGUGAGACAGUUCGGUCCCUAUCUGCCGUGGGCGCUGGAGAACUGAGGGGGGCUGCUCCUAGUACGAGAGGACCGGAGUGGACGCAUCACUGGUGUUCGGGUUGUCAUGCCAAUGGCACUGCCCGGUAGCUAAAUGCGGAAGAGAUAAGUGCUGAAAGCAUCUAAGCACGAAACUUGCCCCGAGAUGAGUUCUCCCUGAGACUUAGAGUCUCCUGAAGGAACGUUGAAGACGACGACGUUGAUAGGCCGGGUGUGUAAGCGCAGCGAUGCGUUGAGCUAACCGGUACUAAUGAACCGUGAGGCUUAACCUUACAACGCCGAAG